CUAAAACUUCAUUCCCAAAGCUUGAUUAUUUAAAUUUAAAAAAAUCUCAAUUUCCAACAAAAUGAGGUUACCUUUGCAAGUAUGUUUACUGUUGCCCCUUUUAAAUAUAAAUGCUGCAGUAGGACGCAUAAGAGGCUUUCUAAAUAAGUGAUACUUUGUUUUCAUGGCAUGACCACAGGACUGAGGUCUAGCAGAAAAGCCCUGUACACAUUCAGGUGGCCAGGGCCAGGGCUCAGCAGUUCCCCAGAUCUGCAAGGCAAAUCUGGCCAUUUGGCAGGAGUGGUCAGGAGACGAUAACUGACCAGCUGUCCCCAGAUAAGGGACAGACAUUUGCAUCCCAGGACAGGCUGGCUGAUACUCAGUGAAACUGGGCAGUCUGAACCACUGUAACCCAUUUAGCCACGUAUGCAAACUAUACAUAAAUCACUUGUUAUCAAACAAUAACAAGUCUUGGCACAUCCAGGCACUGGAAUAAAAUAGUUCUUUCCCACUCUUGUCCCUCACCUCCCUACCAGUUCACCCAGUGGGCUGGAUGAGGCCUGUGCCAACCCAGCUGGGCGGGCAUUUGCACCCAGUAUGUUGUUUGAUUCAUUGUUAUGAGAGUUUCUGCCCUUCCCUGGCUCUCCGCUUCCUCCGUCCUGCAGCAGAUGCCGUUUAGCCCAGGUGGGUGCUGCAGAGUGGGACAGAGCCAUCCCGAUCCCACAGGGUGUGGCAGGGGUAGAGAUGGCCGCCAUUAGGGAACCCUCUGUCCUGGCCCCUCAGAAAUCAGCCCCAGGGAUGGCGGGCCGAGGGGAGCGCCUGUGAGAGAGGCUAUGACCGGCCACAGUGACACACGGGGGGAAUGGAAGAAAAACAGCCAUUCUGAGAGAGCUUUCCAGCAAGACGCCUGGCUGGUAAGAGCUCCUAUAAAAAGACAGAGAAGAUGCACCUCAAAAGAAGCAGAUGGAGCAAUUCAUGGGGGAUUCAGGAGCCUGGGGCAGGCACAGCUACAGCAGGACGUGCCGAACUGUUACUACUCCUUUUUGGCUGCAGACUACUGCCCCAGAGCUCUGCUGGAGGAAAGAAUCCUGUUCAUGGUGCCUCAGAAAGAGAUUUCAAAAUUAUGCCAGGCGGGCAACUCCUACUGUGAACAUUACAUCGUGGGAGAGUGUAAUUGAGAACAGUUUAUCGUGUUGCAGCAGAGGACCAGUGGGUGAGACCCUAGAUUGCCUCGGUGGUAAUUGACAGAAGACUUGUUCUGACAGGUUUGUGUCACUGUGUAAACAGGAAUGUUUGUAACUAUGCUGGAAAAGUGAAGAGUUUGUUAGUGGGACAACAUCAUACACAAAUGCCAG
rnacentral:lncRNA from 1 species